UACAGAGGGGGCAAGCGUUGUUCGGAAUUACUGGGCGUAAAGGGCGCGUAGGCGGCCGCCUAAGUCAGACGUGAAAUCCCUCGGCUCAACCGGGGAACUGCGUCUGAUACUGGGUGGCUUGAAUUCGGGAGAGGGAUGCGGAAUUCCAGGUGUAGCGGUGAAAUUCGUAGAUAUUCGGAAGAACACCAGUGGCGAAGGCGGCUCACUGGACUGGUAUUGACGCUGAGGUGCGAAAGCGUGGGGAGCAAACAGG
rnacentral:rRNA from 1 species